rnacentral:rRNA from 1 species
AGAGACAGCAGUCGCCGCGGUAAUACGAAGGGGGCUAGCGUUGUUCGGAAUUACUGGGCGUAAAGCGCACGUAGGCGGACAUUUAAGUCAGGGGUGAAAUCCCGGGGCUCAACCCCGGAACUGCCUUUGAUACUGGUUGUCUAGAGUAUGGAAGAGGUGAGUGGAAUUCCGAGUGUAGAGGUGAAAUUCGUAGAUAUUCGGAGGAACACCAGUGGCGAAGGCGGCUCACUGGUCCAUUACUGACGCUGAGGUGCGAAAGCGUGGGGAGCAAACAGGAUUAGAUACCCCUGUAGUCCCUGUCUCUUAUAC